CAUGUCACUGGGCCACUACUAACGCUGAGGAGCGAAAGCAUGGGGAGCGAACAGGGAUUAGAUACCCGGUAGUCCAUGCCGUAAACGUUGGGCACUAGGUGUGGGGCUCAUUCCACGAGUUCCGCGCCGCAGCUAACGCAUUAAGUGCCCCGCCUGGGGAGUACGGCCGCAAGGCUAAAACUCAAAGGAAUUGACGGGGGCCCGCACAAGCGGCGGAGCAUGCGGAUUAAUUCGAUGCAACGCGAAGAACCUUACCAAGGCUUGACAUACACCGGAAUCGGCCAGAGAUGGUCGCGUCUUCGGACUGGUGUACAGGUGGUGCAUGGUUGUCGUCAGCUCGUGUCGUGAGAUGUUGGGUUAAGUCCCGCAACGAGCGCAACCCUCGUCCUAUGUUGCCAGCACGUUAUGGUGGGGACUCAUAGGAGACUGCCGGGGUCAACUCGGAGGAAGGUGGGGAUGACGUCAAAUCAUCAUGCCCCUUAUGUCUUGGGCUUCACGCAUGCUACAAUGGCCGGUACAAAGGGCUGCGAUACCGCGAGGUGGAGCGAAUCCCAAAAAGCCGGUCUCAGUUCGGAUUGGGGUCUGCAACUCGACCCCAUGAAGUCGGAGUCGCUAGUAAUCGCAGAUCAGCAACGCUGCGGUGAAUACGUUCCCGGGCCUUGUACACACCGCCCGUCAAGUCACGAAAGUCGGUAACACCCGAAGCCGGUGGCCUAA
rnacentral:rRNA from 1 species